rnacentral:lncRNA from 1 species
CACAGUUUCUUCAUCUCCUUCUUCAAUAGGAUUCCCUCCAAAUACCACGUUCACUGUACUGGUAUAUAUCAGCCUAGGGAUAUUUCUUUGUUUGCAGACAUCAAUUAUGACUUCAGUGCCACCAACAUUUAUGGAUUCAAUCUGCUCUUUCUUUUGAAGUUGUUCUAAUCCUGACAUUCCACAAGCAGCCACAUGAAAAACACAGUCAGCCCCUUCACAUGCUUUGAGCACUGCUUCAUAAUCC